GCGGAAGACGCUUCGGCGUCUGCAUGUUCCGUUGUCCUGUCGGUUCCUGAUUUUGGCUCGGUUCUAGAUUUGGCUCAGUCCUUCUGCCUUGGCCUCUCUGCAUCAGUAGGACAGAUCCUUUUUGCCUGACUCGACAUGUUCCUGUCUUUGGCUGGCUCCUUUUGCACUGACCCGGUUUCCUGGAGGUUGAUCCUUAGCAACAGCUCUGCCUUGAUUCUUCCUGCCUGUGAGUGACCAUUUUCAUCACCAGUCUACUUUGUUUUCUGCCUAGAAAGAUUGCCAUUGGGGUGAUUCGCUCCCAAACUGUUAUUUAAACCCUGCAAGCUCAAAGUAAGCGCUGUUAUUAUUUAAAUUGCAAGACUGUGAUUAACUGCUUCAAGCCCUUAUUAGCUUAGUCAAGACGGUGCCAUUAACCCUUGUCAGCUGUCCUUCACUUGUUUGUUUUUCCCCCUGCAAGACUGCUUAUUCCUGUUAAAGACUGUGCUGUUAACCCUUGCUGUCUAUGUUGCCUGGCUUGCUUAUUUCUGCAUUACCCCAUAUUGACUGCAUAGUGAUCUACCUAAGUGGGGCCUUACAUCUUUGAUAGGCUCCUAAAUCCAGGACUGAAUACUUAUCCAAGUUUCCAAAGGUGCAUGAUUAUUUACCUCUGAGGGAAUCCGUGUUCUUUCAGCUGUUAACCCAUCCCUUCCUGUAAAGAGGUUCACCUUGUGAAGGAUCCAUUUCUCCAAGUAUCUGUGGGAAGAGGUCAUCAUUUAAGACCACAUAUCUCCAGUUGGAAUUACCUUCCCGCUACAGUUGUACUUUCCUGCAAGCUCAGAUCAGCUGAAAAACUAACCAAGAAUAAUGCAGUCAAAAGGUUGAAUUUGAUAGUCCUGAGUCUUUGUUCGGCCUCAGCUGAUGAGUUGUUAUGACAUUUUCAUGGAUAAACUGGACUAAACAAGUAUCUCUAGCUGCAUGUUAUCACUGCCCUGCAUAGAUACUCUUCCAAACGUUGGGCAUGAAUGACUGAUCAGAUCGGACAUCGCCUCCAAGCUCAUUAAGAAGAGAUCGAUAAGUCUGUUAAUGAUGAAUGGGGAGGUGGGAUUCAGAGAGGCGCGUGGGAGUGAGGAGCUGGGGUGGGAAAUUAGUUGGAGUUCGGUGCUUGUUGGACAGAAAGGAUUCUCACAGCUCCAUAGGAACAGUCUUCAUAAGUUCUCUCCCAGCCUCUAACCCAGUAUGAGUAAGACUGUGAUUCAGUGGAACUGACGUCACCCAACAAUGACCAUGCCUUGCCUGGAGAGACCCUAUACCUUCUAUCUGGCCAGAAGAAGAAAGCUGAUGAUGAUUGAGGCACAUGGAAAGGGAAACUUGACUUCCUGCUGUCCUGUGUCGCCUAUGCCAUUGGUCUGGGCAACGCGUGGCGCUUUCCUUACCUGUGUGGAAAGAAUGGAGGAGGUACAACCCAUGGAUUACAUAUCAAGAAAACAUUAUGUACCAUAUAAAAGUUACAGUGGGAUAAUAGUCUCUGGGAAGGGAGUGUGACUGUGGGAUAGCAGAUAUAGUAGGGAGAG